rnacentral:misc_RNA from 1 species
CCGAACGGUCGGCAUGGCGAUCCGCGUCGGUCGUGCUGGGUGGUAUGGUUCCCCAGAGGCCGGUUCUUGUGCUGCCUACCCCUUCAGGGGAAGCGGGCCACUCGAUGUCAGCCUCCAUCCGGCGCCCUCCAACGGGCGCAGGAGGACAACGUAGCACCCCCCACGUUCCACCGAGCCCCCGUCGGUCGCGUGGCGCGCGGGGAAGUGCGACGCUCUCGGACCCAGCGAACGCCGUGGGCGAGGACUCACGUCCCAGUCCCGAUAGAAGCUCCCGUACAACGCUGACGGCCGCUCCCGUCCCCGACGCUCCGGCGGCGCGGGCGAGGCGCGCGUCGCGGAGGAAUGCUACCU